rnacentral:hammerhead_ribozyme from 1 species
GCACUGCCGAAAAGUCCCACAAUAGGACGAAAUGGUCAUCCAGUGC